rnacentral:rRNA from 1 species
UGGGUAACCUGCCUCAAAGAGGGGAAUAGCCUCCCGAAAGGGAGAUUAAUACCGCAUAAUAUGUUUAGGUCGCAUGACUUUAACAUCAAAGGAUUUUCUUUUAGAAAUUCCACUUUGAGAUGGACCCCGCGGCGCAUUAGCUAGUUGGUGAGGUAACGGCUCACCAAGGCAACG